CCGCGAGGUUUGGGAGAGAAGAAGCAAUAGCGAAUCCGUGGCCUAACGAACAGGAAGCCGAAAGGUGUCUGGUACAAGGCGUAUUUGGUGGACAAGGUAGCCAAAAGUACUGAAGUUCCAAAUAGGCAGACGUAAUCCAAAUGCGUAAACCAGUAGGGUGAACGGAGAAGGA
rnacentral:ncRNA from 1 species